GCCUUCUACCACUGCAUAUUUACACCCUUUAAUAUCGUCUUAAUAAAACAUUUUAACUUUAUAGUAGAGGCGAUCAAAAAAUAUCUAAGCGCUUUAGAGAUAGUACCGCAAGGGAAAGAUGAAAUAGCAAUGAAAUAACUUAAAGCACAACAAAGCAGAGAUUUUAACCCGUACCUUUUGCAUCAUGGUCCAGCCAGUCUAACCAAGCAAAACGAAACUUUAGUUUGAACCCCCGAAACUAAGCGAGCUACUUCAAAACAGCCUUUAGGGCAAAUCCGUCUCUGUGGCAAUAGAGUGGAGAGAUUUUCAAGUAGGAGUGACAAGCCUAACGAGCUUAGAGAUAGCUGGUUAUUCAGGAAAAGAAUUUUAGUUCUGCUUUAAAUUUUUAUAUGUAAUCAAACAAACCUAAAGAUUUAAAAGUUAUUCAACUAAGGCACAGCUUAAUUGAAACAGGGCACAACCUACACUAUAGGGUAAACUAGAAAUACCUACAAUAAGUGGGCCUAAGAGCAGCCAUCUUUCAAAAAGCGUUAAAGCUUACUUCUAUUACUAAAAAAAUACCACAAAUUCCCAUGAACCCUUAUCCAAUACUGAAUGACCCCAUAAAUAUAUGGGAAACACUAUGCUGAAACUAGUAACAAGAAUUUAAUAUUCUCCAAAAUGCAAGCAUAAACCAAAAUGGAUGUUCCACUGGCUAUUAACGAAAAUGAAUAAAACACAGCAACACUACAAGAAAACUCUGAGUGCUAACUCGUUAAUCUUACACUAGCGCAUUACUGGAAAGAUUUAAAGAGGAAGAAGGAAUUCGGCAAAUUUCAAUCCCGCCUGUUUACCAAAAACAUCGCCUCUUGAAAACUAUAAGAGGUCCAGCCUGCCCAGUGACAAAGUUCAACGGCCACGGUACCCUAACCGUGCGAAGGUAGCAUAAUCACUUGUUCUUUAAAUAGGGACUAGUAUCAACGGCAUCACGAGGGUUGCACUGUCUCCUUCCUCUAAUCAGUGAAACUGAUCUCCCCGUGAAGAAGCGGGGAUACAACUAUAAGACGAGAAGACCCCAUGGAGCUUUAAACCAAUAGCAACUCAAUUACAUAUUUCCUUUUAACUUCAAGAGCUAUGCAUAUAGGUUUUAGGUUGGGGUGACCGCGGAGUACAAACAAACCUCCACGACGAAAAGAACUAAAUCUUUAUCCAAGAGCUACAGCUCUCAGAAUUAGCACACUAACGAAUAAUGAUCCGACAAUCGAUCAACGAACCAAGUUACCCUGGGGAUAACAGCGCAAUCUACUUCAAGAGCCCAUAUCGACAAGUAGGCUUACGACCUCGAUGUUGGAUCAGGGUAUCCAAGUGGUGCAGCCGCUACUAAUGGUUCGU
rnacentral:rRNA from 1 species